rnacentral:rRNA from 1 species
GACAUGGGUUUACCGGCCGCGGUAUCUUGACCGUGCAAAGGUAGCGCAAUCACUUGUCUUUUAAAUGAAGACCUGUAUGAAUGGCACGACGAGGGCUUAACUGUCUCCUUUUUCAGGUCAAUGAAAUUGAUCUCCCCGUGCAGAAGCGGGGAUAGUGACAUAAGACGAGAAGACCCUAUGGAGCUUUAGACACAAGGAAGAUCCUGUUAAGCCUCCCUAAACACAAGGGCUCAAACCAAUGGACCCCUUCCCUCAAUGUCUUUGGUUGGGGCGACCGCGGGGUAACAAAAAACCCCCAUGUGGAAGGGGCACCCCUCCUACAACCCAGAGCCACAGCUCGAAUUAACAGAACUUCUGACCAGCAAGAUCCGGCAGAGCCGAUCAACGGACCAAGUUACCCUAGGGAUAACAGCGCAAUCCUCUUUUAGAGCCCAUAUCGACAAGGGGGUUUACGACCUCGAUGUUGGAUCAGGACAUCCUAUUGGUGCAGCCGCUAUUAAGGGUCCGUUUGUUCAACGGUUAAAGUCCU